CCUACGGGUGGCAGCAGUGGGGAAUAUUGCGCAAUGGGCGAAAGCCUGACGCAGCGACGCCGCGUGAGGGAUGAAGGUCUUCGGAUCGUAAACCUCUGUCAGCAGGGAAGAACGGUCACUGUGCUAAGCAGCAGUGAAUUGACGGUACCUGCAAAGGAAGCACCGGCUAACUCCGUGCCAGCAGCCGAGGUAAUACGGAGGGUGCGAGCGUUAAUCGGAAUUACUGGGCGUAAAGCGCUCGUAGGCGGUAUGUCAAGUCAAGGGUGAAAUCCCCGCGCUCAACGUGGGAACUGCCUUUGAAACUGGCAAACUGGAGUGUGUGAGAGGAUAGUGGAAUUCCCGGUGUAGGCGUGAACUCCGUAGAUAUCUGGAGGAACAUCAGUGGCGAAGGCGACUCUCUGGCACAUAACUGACGCUGAGGAGCGAAAGCGUGGGUAGCAAACAGGAUUAGAUACCCCGGUAGUC
rnacentral:rRNA from 1 species